ACCUGGCUGGCUCAGUCAGUGGAGCAUGUGACUCUUAAUCUCAGGAUUGUAGGCUCAAGUCCCAUGCUGGUUG
rnacentral:tRNA from 1 species